rnacentral:lncRNA from 1 species
AUACAUGCAUGCAGUGGGCAAUGUUACGAGCAUGACACAAGUGGUGGACAUAGUUGACAAAGAGAACAUGAUAUUCCAGUACACCAUAAUUGAUGGUGAUAUUCGAUUGGGAAUACUCGACACUGUCAUUUGUCAUUUUGAAGUUCAUCCUACCCAUGGAGGGUGCAUAGUGACGAAAUCUGUCGCAUAUAUCCCCAAGAACUAUUCAGACGAGAUUCCGAAAUGGGGGGUUGAGCAGUCCGAUAUGAUAUCACUUUUGAUUCUCAGGUCCGUUGAAUCCCACAUCCUUGCAAAUCCGAAAAAGUACUGAGAACAAGUAUCAAUCAUUUUUUAAUUUGGUCAUGGGUUUAAGUACGGGGUCAAAUUAAUAAAUUAAAGCUGCCUUAAUCUGUUUUAAUAAUAAGUCCAGUACUGUAUACUGUGACGGCUCAAGUUUCUGGGCAAAUAAUUUGUAGGUUUUGUAUUUGUAUUGCAUUAUAUAUAUGCAUGAAGUGGUUGAUGCCCACAAGUACUGUAUUGUGUUUAAUUGUUAAAGUUUGAGCAUCAAUAUGUAUGCAUGUAUGUUAAUUUAUGUUAAAACAUGUGACGAAGUUUCGAAGAGAAAAUUAAUGUACCUUCUUUCUUGCUUUGAUGCAUGAUUCUUGAUUUCAUGCAUGAUUCUCAUUUGUAUGUAUUAUCAAGCUUUUAACGUAACAUUUGAUCAUAUAGAUUUAUAUAUAUAUAUAUAUAUAGCUCGGCUCUCUCCAGCGAACUGAAGGGAGCGAAUUAAGAGCGAAUUAGCUAUAACGACGAUUUUUUUCAUCGUUAUAACAUAAAAAACUGUGUUUCUAUGCUAUAGCGACGGAAGAAACCGUCGUUAUAGCCGGUUCAUUCUUAGUUCGCUCCUUUCAGUUCGCUGGAGAAGCGGACUGUAUAUAUAUAAUCCUUUUUUAUAUAUCAUUUAUAUAAAAUAAAUAAAAAUGAAAAAAAUUAUUGAUGGAGAAAUUAAGAUUGUCAAGUAGGAUUUAUAUAAAACCUUGAGUGCCAAACUAGUUUUCCAAGUUGUGUAUUGUAAAAGAUAUUGCCCAGUCAACUUGGAGAUUUGGAGAGGGGAUGCAUCAAAACACGUACACAGGUACCUCUCUCUAAUCUCUAUACGGCCAAUGCCCUAUAAAUAUGGGUGUUAGAAUUUUGGAGAAAAAAAUAUUUAGAUAUAUAUUCAGAUAUAUUGAGAUAGAUUUAGAUAUAUUGAGAAUUUGAGAUACAUUCACAUAUAUAUAUAUAUAUAUAUAUAUAUAUAUAUAUAUAUAUAUAUAUAUAUAUAUAUAUAUAUAUAUAUAUAUAUAUAUAUNNNNNNNNNNNNNNNNNNNNNNNNNNNNNNNNNNNNNNNNNNNNNNNNNNNNNNNNNNNNNNNNNNNNNNNNNNNNNNNNNNNNNNNNNNNNNNNNNNNNCUCAGAAAUAUUUUAAGAAUUUUCAUAAUUUUUUUUUUAUCUUGUAAUAUUCAGAUAUUUAUUUAGUGAAUUUCUUCUUUUUUCUCCCUGGUCUUUUUCAAUUUGAGUUUCCACAUUAAAUCUUGUGUUAUUGUCUUUAUUUUUCUGCGUUGAUUUAUUGUGUUUGCCAUAAUUUGUCAUACCAAUAGGUAGCUAGGACAUAUGUAUAUCUAUAUACAUAACGGAUCUAAAUCACUCUUCUUAAAUAUUAAAUAACACUCUUUUAUUAAAAUUAUAUCGUUUUGGAGAUUCUUUUAAAAUAGAAAAUAAUAUUAAAAUAGAGUGUUCUUACUUGUAUUUUAAAAGAAUCUUCAAAACAACGUAAUUUUAAUAAAAUAGUGCUAUUUAAGAUGAGUGUUAUUUAAGAGAAGUGUUUUAGAUCCGUCCUCUAUCUAUAUAUCUAUAUAUCUAUAUAUUUAUAUAUUUUAUUAACUAGCUUAAUAAUAUAGUUGGUCUGUACAAUCCUGUUUUUAAUAUAUAUUUAAAUUAUACCUAAAUUAUUGAAUUUUGUAAAAUUUUCAAUUUUAAUAAAUUUUUUGAGAGUCAAUAAAAAAAAUUAGACUGGUCACUAAACCGGUUAGCACUUCCCAAUCCCCCUAGAUUUAUUCUUAUACAUAUAUAGGUAUAUAAUUGGUGAGCUAGGGGGAAAGAAAAAGAAAGAAAUAUGCACAGCUGUAUAUAUAUACCAAUUAGCUUGAUAAUUGAGCAAGGGGGAUAUACGAUCAUGCAUUGGAAUCAGGGGCGGAUCCAGCUUAUUAGUUCAGUGGUGUCAAUUUUUUAAAAUAAAAAUUUAUAAAAAAAAAUAAAGACGCCAGAAUGUGAGAAAUAUUUCAAAUAAUUGUGUGAGCUAUCAUAUAAAAUUGAUAUUGUUUUAUGUAAUUGAAUACAUUUCGAAUCCUCAAUUUUAUGUUAUAUAUAAAAUAAUAUUUUAUAAUUUUUUAAAACACUGUUAUUAUAAGAGACAUUUUUUGUAUCCUUUAAAAUAAAUUACAAAACUAAAUAAUAUUGUUAAAAUAUUAUUUAUAAUAACAUUUUUCGAUAUUUCAUUGUUUGAAACUAUCGUAAUGAUAGUCUCAUUUCAAUAGCUGCAAAAAUAUCAUUUUCAAUGUAAGUUACUAAAUAAUAUAAAAGAGUGGAUUAUUUGUGUUAGUAGAAAUUUGAGAUAUUUAAUAGUUUUUUAAUCUAAAUUUUUAUUUUCACUAAACACUAUAAAAUCAAAAUCAAAUUGAAAAUUGACUCCCAAAAAUUGAGUGGGGUCAAUUGACCCCACUGCCCUAAGGUAGAUCCGCCCAUGUUUGGAAUUGAAUUUGGAGCAGAACUUUUCUUGGUUUUAAAUUCGGAUCAGUUGAGAUGUAUAAGGGCAUGGUUUUGUAUAUGUUUUGUAUAUGCAUGUUGUUUUAAUGCUUCCGAUGGUUUGUUUUCUCAUAGGGUAGGUUUAGAUCUCAGCUAAAUUUUUUCAAUAGCGGUGGUGACAGGAGACUAUAUUCAUAUUGGCGCUGUUAAUUUAAUAUUUUAAAUAAAUAAUGAGCAUGUAACUUAUAAAUUAAUAAUAAAAAAUAACUUAUAAAUUAGUUUAACUAACUUAUAAAUUAUUUCCGAACAUGGCUUACGUGGUACGGUUGGACAUUUGAAUAUAGGGAAUGUCGUUGGAUUGCAAAAUUAAGAUUAAUAUAUAAAAUUGUAGCAUGAAUUUAUUAUUUUAAUUUGUGAAAUAUGUCAUUUGAUUUUACAACAAUAUAACAAGCCCUUAUUUGUGACGUAUUGUACAAAAUAUUUUAAAAUUAAAUAUUUUGGAUUAAUUUUUGACAACUAAUAUUAUAUCGUACAAUAUUGUAUAGUAAUUGUAUUUUAGAGAGAGAUUUAUUAUUUUAAUUAACCAACUUCAAUGACGAAAAGAAUUAAAAAAACAUGGGAAUUCAAUUACGUGUAAUAUAUGUUCUUUUUUGGUGUGGUCAAUUGUAAUUGAGUGCAUUGCUUAUCGGUUUUUUGAGUUAUAUAUAUAUAUAUAUAUAUAUGUGGUAUAUAUAUAUGUGGGAUAUAUGUAGUACACAGUCGUUUAUGACGACGAGUGAACUGUCGUCAUAGACCAAAAUAACUAUAGCGAGACUGUGUACUACGCAACUGUAUAUAUAUAUUUUUUCAUAUAUAUAUAUAUAUAUAUAUAUAUAUAUAUAUAUAUAUAUNNNNNNNNNNNNNNNNNNNNNNNNNNNNNNNNNNNNNNNNNNNNNNNNNNNNNNNNNNNNNNNNNNNNNNNNNNNNNNNNNNNNNNNNNNNNNNNNNNNNAUUUAGAUCCGAUAGUUAUCAACUAAUUAAAUAGUGUAUUGAAGGAGCUAGCUAGCCUCACUCACGGGCCUCACAUUUAUAAAUAGGACCUUUAGCUCUCUUAUUUCCUCACACCAAAUUAAUCCUCAUCAACAAAACCGAUCCUUCAAGUUCUUCCUUUUUCUGCUAUUAAAUUUAUAAUGGGGGUGGUGAAGACACAUGUUGAGGCUUUUUCUCCGGUUCAAGCACAUAAAAUGUUCAAGGGUUUUUUUCUGAGUCUUUUAACUAUCGUCCCUCAACUUUUGCCACAGUAUUUUAAGAGUGUCGAAAUCCUUUCUGGAGAUGGUGGAGUUGGAUCCGUCUUCACAGUCAAACUUGCCGAACGUACGUAUAUACGUUGAUUAACUUUUAGUUAGUUUUGUUUCUAUAAUCAUACGUACAUGCAUGCAUAUAUAUAUAUAUAUAUAUAUAUAUAUUGUAUGUAUUUAGCAACUAAUUUGUACCUUAAUUCUUUGACAAAUAUUAUAAUUAAAUUGGUAACCACAACCAACGUGGCAUGCAAAGGCAUUUCAUAUCAUAACUGGCGAUGUAUAUAUGUUUUUUUCUUGUUCUUAUACAUAUAUAUGCAAUUAAUUUAUACACAUGUUUAAUUUCUCUUGAUCGAAUACAUGCAUGCAGUGGGCAAUGUUACGAGCAUGACACAACGGGUGGACAUAGUUGACAAGGAGAAAAUGAUAUUCCAGUACACCAUAAUUGAUGGUGAUAUUCGAUUGGGAAUACUCGACACUAUCAUUUGUCAUUUUGAAGUUCGUCCUACCCAUGGAGGCAGCAUAGUGACGAAAUCUGUCGCAUAUAUCCCCAAGAACUAUUCAGACGAGAUUCCGAAAUGGGGGGUUGAGCAGGCCAAUAUGAUAUCACUUUUGAUUCUCAGGUCCGUCGAAUCCCACAUCCUCGCAAAUCCGAAAAAGUACUGAGAACAAGUAUCAAUCAUUUUUUAAUUUGGUCAUGGGUUUAAGUACGUGGUCAAAUUUAUAAAUUAAAGCUGCCUUAAUCUGUUUUAAUAAUAAGUCCAGUACUGUAUACUGUGACUCAAGUUUCUGGACAAAUAAUUUGAAGGUUUUGUAUUUGUAUUGCAUUAUAUAUAUGCAUGAAGUGGUUGAUGCCCACAAGUACUGUAUUGUGUUUAAUUGUUAAAGUUUGAGCAUCAAUAUGUAUGUAUGUUAAUUUAUGUUAAAACAUGUGGCGAAGUUUCGAAGCGAAAAUGUACCUUCUUUCUUGCUUUGAUGCAUGAUUCUCAUCCGUAUGUAUUAUCAAGCUUUUAACGUAACAUUUGAG